rnacentral:rRNA from 1 species
AUACAGAGGGUGCGAGCGUUAAUCGGAAUUACUGGGCGUAAAGCGUACGUAGGCGGUUAUUUAAGUCAGAUGUGAAAGCCCCGGGCUUAACUUGGGAACUGCAUUUGAAACUGGGUAACUAGAGUUUAGUAGAGGGGAGUGGAAUUUCAGGUGUAGCGGUGAAAUGCGUAGAGAUCUGAAGGAACACCAGUGGCGAAGGCGACUCCCUGGACUAAAACUGACGCUGAGGUACGAAAGCGUGGGUAGCAAACAGGAUUAGAAACACUAGUAGUCC